rnacentral:rRNA from 1 species
UACGGAGGGUGCAAGCAUUAAUCGGAUUUAUUGGGCGUAAAGGGCGCGUAGGCUGGAAGGAAAGUCAGAUGUGAAAUCCCGGGGCUCAACCCCCGGAACAGCAUUUGAAACUUCCAUUCUUGAGGGUAGGCGGAGAAAACGGAAUUCCACAAGUAGCGGUGAAAUGCGUAGAUAUGUGGAAGAACACCAGUGGCGAAGGCGGUUUUCUAGCUUAUACCUGACGCUGAGGCGCGAAAGCAAGGGGAUCAAACAGG